UAAAAUGAUAGAACAUGAAUUUAACUGAAGGAUCACUGAGGAGAAGGGAAAGAAGAAAGGAAAAAAGAGUAACUUUAAAAUAUAUAGCAACUGUAUAUGGAAACAGCAUGAAGAACCUCAAUGAAAGCUCUGUCCAACAGGAGGUUGAGAAGAGAGAGAAACAAGCUCUGCUGGGGCAGCACUGGCAGGCGGGUGGGCUGAGCUAACAAGGAGGAUGAAAAUGGUAGAUUGUUGGCAUAUAUGAAAACAGAACAAUGAAACCUGUUGAAAUUGUUCUAGUAAUCCCGGAAUGGGGGGAGAGGAUUUAUUGAAACACACUGUAAACAUGUGGAAAUGUCACAACCAAAUCCCCUCCUAUAUAACGAAUGUAUACUAAUAUGAAAGAAAAGUGGAAGAGGGAAGGAA